CUGCAGGACAGCGUGUUGGCGUUCUGGAAACACGGGAUGCAAGGAAAGAGUCUGCUCACUAACGAGGUAACGCAGGAAAUUACGGAUGAAUCCAGAAUUUUCCGGGUUCUGGGGACUCACAGGGAUAUCAUCUUGGAAAGCCGACCGAUAGACAACCCAACGGCUCACAGCAACAUCUACCUCCUAACCGGCCAUCAGAGCAGCUACUGAGACCCCGAUUUACCCCCUUCUCCCCUUCCCUGAGACCGACCCCCCCCACCCCACCUUUCCCCCUUUGCCGCUCUCCACUCCCCCAAGACCUCGUUCCCCCCACCCUCUCCCUUACUCGGUUUCCCCUUUCGUCCCUCUCCCAAGACCCCCUGACCCGCUUCCCCCUCGCCCUAUCUCAUCGCCUUCCCCCCACUCCUCCCUGUUUCUCCCGAGCCCCCCCCCCACCCUUUUGUACAGACCCACGAAGCUUUACGCAUUAUUUAAUGACCUGUAUUUAGUCUCUUAAAGUAAAAAAAAAGUUUUA